UGCAUAUCAAAUAAGCGGAGGAAAAGAAACCAACAGGGAUUCCCCUAGUAACGGCGAGUGAAGCGGGAACAGCUCAAAUUUGAAAUCUGGCCCUCGGGUCCGAGUUGUAAUUUGUAGAGGAUGCUUUUGGUGCGGUGCCUUCCGAGUUCCCUGGAACGGGACGCCUUAGAGGGUGAGAGCCCCGUACGGUUGGACGCCUAGCCUCUGUAAAGCUCCUUCGACGAGUCGAGUAGUUUGGGAAUGCUGCUCUAAAUGGGAGGUAUAUUUCUUCUAAAGCUAAAUACUGGCCAGAGACCGAUAGCGCACAAGUAGAGUGAUCGAAAGAUGAAAAGCACUUUGAAAAGAGGGUUAAAUAGCACGUGAAAUUGUUGAAAGGGAAGCGUUUAUCACCAGACUUUUUCUAGGGGGAUCAUCCGGUGUUCUCACCGGUGCACUUCCCCUAGUUGAGGCCAGCAUCGGUUUUCGGAGGGGGAUAAAAGUUUCGGGAAUGUGACUCCCCCGGGAGUGUUAUAGCCCGUUACAUAAUACCCUUCUGGGGACCGAGGUUCGCGCAUCUGCAAGGAUGCUGGCAUAAUGGUGAUCAACGACCCGUCUUGAACCACGGACC
rnacentral:rRNA from 1 species